GCGCUGGUGGUAUAAGGCAUAGCAUCGCUGCCCGGAAAGCAGAAGGUGCGGGUUCGAGUGCCGCCUAGCGCA
rfam:Heligmosomoides polygyrus genome assembly, scaffold: HPBE_scaffold0005655